UCAGAAAGCUGCUCAGCAACUCCUGAAAUCCAGCUCCUACAAGAGUGCUGCCAUGUGCUAUGGAAUUACAACUGAAGGCACAGCACGAGAGGACCUGGAGAGAAGGCUUGGAGCAAGAAUUGUGCAGACUGGACUGGUGGUUCUUCCUGAGCAACCUUGGCUGUGCUGCAGCCCCGACGGACUUGUACAGCUUGCUAAUGAGACUGUCCUGAUUGAAAUCAAGUGCACAUAUAAAUUCAAGGAUACACCAUUUAUCAGAUACGAAGAACGGCAUUGUGAGCUUCCAUAUUUGAUAUUCAUUGAUGACAAAAUUGAAUUAAGAAAGUCACACCAAUACUACACUCAGUUGCAGGUCCAAAUGUAUGUUCUUAAUUUGCAGAAAGCUUUGCUCUUUGUGUACA